UGUGUAUGUUACUGCAAUACAUAUUUAGAUUUCUUUGCCCAUCCUUUUUGGAUCUACUAGUAGGCCUAGUGAUGUUAGAGGUCUUAACAAGUGGGCUAUGCAUCAGAUUUCAUUUCAAGUGAUGAGUAAAAUAUCCAGAGAUGUAUAUAAUCUGUUCUUUGUGCCCUCUAGCUUAGCACACUGAAUUCUUUGAGCCAUCUGAUGUCAAUCCGUGUGGCAAAAUGAUCAAUGAAAACAAUUUAAGAAAUGCAUCUUAUAGAUGUUUCAUAUUGUAGGUCUACAGCCUAUUGUGUCAUGGUGGUGUUAUCAUUUCAUGUUAUCAUGUUCAUGUUUUGUGCUGUCUUGCUUUGCAGAUGACAGAAUAUUGCUGAAGGAUCCUACAUGGAAGCUGGCUGAUUACACGGAGUGAUUCCUCUGGUGUGGUGUACCUCAGAGAAAUAAACACUGUUGCAACAGCUGAGAAGAUGGCCAAGAUAUCCUUAUUGCUGGAUGGUAGCUCUGGUCGUAGUGGACCAUAUCUGCAAAUGCUUCUGAACAUUGACAGAAUUUCUUAAGAUGACUGAGAAUAUUACUGAAGGAUCCUACAUGGAAGCUGUCUGAUUACACUGAGUGAUUCCUCUGGUGUGGUGUACCUCAGAGAAAAUAAACACUGUUGCAAGGGGUCACUGCUACUGCAGCAGAUGUCGCAAGUCUUUCUCUGCCCAACGCCCCAAGGCUGUUUGCACUUGGUUCAUUCUCAGAAUAAACCCAGAGGGCUCCAAAUGCCAGGCCAAGUCCAUCACCAGCAAGAAGACCGGUAAAAAGGUGCAAAGGAAGAGCAGCAGUGUCAACCCUGUUGUUGCUUCAUUCAUCAGGGAACUUGUUGAUUUUGACUGGCUGAAUUAUUAAUGCUUGACCUUUUGAAGUUCCAAUCACUUGUUUCUUUUAAGUAGUUCAGUCCGAGCAUUGCACCAAAGGCUCGAGGCCCUGUUGUUCUUGCUGUGUUUUCCCCCCUUCUCCCCGUUUCAAAACUUAUUUGGCACAGUUUUUCGAUAUUGUGUCAUGUAUAAGACUUUUAAAAGAGUGACUCUAUUGCGCACCCUAGCACAGAGAUGUUCGGGGCUGGAAUAUAGUUAUAGUUAUAGAAUAUAGUUGAAGCUACGGACUCUGGACCUUCUUUGUGGUAUGUACUUAUCUCAUUAAGAUGAACAAAAAAAAGGUCAAUACGAGCAUAUGGCCACGCCCAACAGGAAAUGAGAUAUUGGACUGUUUUCCAUUUUGCAUACAUUGGAAUUUGAAGCACCCACCACAAACCAUACAACAGUUUUGUCUUGAUUAAUGUUUGGGGUAUCUCAUUUUAAUAGAAUAUAAUCUUUUUAUUUGUCAAUGUGAAUGAAAUAAAAAAAAAAGAAAAAUAUGUAUACAACUGAAGAGUUCAGAUGCAAAACCCCCUAACUCCAUUUCUGAAGACAUGCACUUUUAUAUUUUUAGAGAACCCCAUUGUUGGUUUGGUUUACAUUCAUGUACUUGAUAAUACAUAUGAAUAGUUAUAUUACAUAAAUAAAAUUUUAAAAAUGUGGAAUUUUGAUAGCUUUGUUUUAAAUAAAAAUGAAACAAGAUUAUUUUCUGAAAUGGCACUUAUGGGGUUUUGCAUCUAAACUCUUCAACUAUAUACAAAGGUUAUGGAUUGUGCAUUUGUGAUAAGCAGGACCCCCUUCCUACUGGAGUAUGUUGUUAAAUUGUUAACCAGUUUUAAUUAAACAUUUUGAUUGCAUCUCUUGCAUUUGCAGCAUUUCUUUACCUUGUAACUUUUAAAAACUUUUUAAUGUGUUUUUGAUCUGACUGGUAACUAGAAUAUCUGAAUUAUAGGAGAAUGUGAUGCCUUUGUAGAGCUCCCUGACAUUAUCUUGCGGAAUAUUGUAAAUUAAAAUACAACAAAAAUACUGUAAAACAAACUACAGUAGUUGAAAAAGUUACUGGCAGCUGGAUGCCAUUAAAGUACUGUACUCCUUACAAUAAUUUGUAUCAGUACUGUAAAUCGAUAUACAGUAAUUGGAAUUGGUACUGUAAACUGAUAUACAGUAAUUUGAAUGUUACUGGCAGCUGGAUGCCAGUAAUGUACUGUACUCCUUACAAUAGUUUGGAUUGGUACUGUAAACUGACAUACAGUACUUUGGAUUGGUACUGUAACUGGAUUAACAGUAGUGCUGAUUGGUACUGUAAACCAA